CCCGCCUCCAUGCCAUUCUCUUUUUCUCUAGUUUCCCUUCCAUCUCUCUUUCUCUAUUGUCUUUCCAUCUCUCUCUUUAACCCACUUGCUCAUUCACCACACUCUCUCUGGGUUCCUCUCUUGCCAUUAUACAUGUCUGAGUCUCUCUCUCUCUGGGUUCCUCUCUUGCCAUUAUACAUGUGUCUGAGUCUCUCUCUCUCUGGGUUACAUCCAUUUUCUAUCUCACUUCUAAUGAGAAGCUGUAAGCACCAUCACCCCAACAGCCCUUAACAGUGAUGAUACUACAAAUCUCUGCCAUAUCAGAAUGUCCCAGUCACCACCUUGUUUCACCAGUAAGUUUAAACUUAAAAUACCCAUAUCAAGCAACCUUAAAUCCAGCCAGUGCCGUGUUCAUGUCCUCACAUAAGAUAACGACUUCAGUUUGCUCCCUCUGCUCAGCUUAUACCCUGACCAUAAGUUGACCGUCCCACCGUUGCUGGUUUGAGAAUGGUUUGCAUGGGCCUCCUGGGAGAUCAAUACUACCCUGCAGGCAUGUUGGACUGAGUGGGCUGUGCUGUAACAAUACUGUCAGAGCAGAGCAUGUGUGAAUGAGUGACCGCUCAUCAGUAAAUAUACAACCCAUACUGACUGGCUGUGUUUGACCUGACUUAACCCCUCAACCUGGUCAUCAUAUGCUCUCUGUGGUGGUCAAAGUGUCUCACACUCAAACAUUAUCACCAGGGUUUCAGACAGCGUUUUACACACUCCUGGGGUCUUUGAUUGUGUGCUUCCUGCCACACUAACAUCCUCACAAUGGAGGGAUUCUGUAGACGUCCACACAAGGAUAGUCUGCUUGCACGGCCAAGCAAAAAACAAUAACCUGAAACGGAAUGAAAUGAAAUGUAUCUGUUCUGUUUCAUGAUGACCUUAGCACAUAGGGGAAUUGGGUUGGCUCGCCUACAACUUCCAUCUAUCAAAUAUACUAUGCCUAUGUCCAGCCUUAUUACUUGCCUUUUACCUAUCCUGGCCAUUCUGAUAAAGGGAAGGAAACAAUGGAAGGAAGCCUCUUUGGGCUAUUGAGAUGUACCCUGAGAGGAAUUCACACACCCAAUGCACAGCAGUGUGAGUCAGCGUUUCUGUCUGAGCUCCACACAGCACAGCAGGCUUUGUGUAGUAGUAGGACAUGGCAUUUCAAUGUGGCAUUCAACCUUAGAUUUACAAGCGUGUUAUGUUUUAAUGGGACGUUUCGGCAUCAACCCACAAGCUCAUUAAACAGAGCAAUUUAGUCUGUUCUGUGCAGACAAAAAUAAUGUUACGCUGCCUUGCUCUUUUGUGACAAUACUUGUGGGGAAAAUGUAUGCUUUAGAUCUACAUACUAUAGCUGCCACAUGGUUGGAAUGCUGCCUCGUAAUAACUAGCCUGUGGUCCAGACUGAGGCCCAGGGGAAGGACAGUAAGAGUGUAGAAGACAGUAAACCACCUGUCUUUCACUUAUACGUCUGCUAUACGCUUGUCAGCCGAGCUCAUCUUUCUUCUUCAUAUAGCAUAACUACUAGCCUGGUCCCAGAUCUGCUUGUGUGAUCAUGCCACUCCUUGUCACUCAUUUGGCAUGACAACGAGUGGAAUGAUAUCUCAAACAGGCUGGUAUCCAGGCUACAUAACUACUGCUGGUGUUCCAAAAAGAGAGAUUCCUAUCCCUUUCUCCAUUUUUCUUUUCCUUCUCUCACUUUUCAUCUCCCCCACGUAUCUCCCUCUCUCUCUCUUACCCAGUUUUUUUUCAGCUCCUGUUCUUAAGAACCCUGCCUGGUAGGUCUCCUGUCUCUUAUGUUGGUAGUACUGUCUGUCUUCUCCGAUCCCUAACAUAAAGUUUAGAGAAAGUCCCGCUGAAUUUCUGAAUGUGUACUGAACAUAUAAGUUGAAUUGAUAGCCUCACACUUGCUGACAUCUUCCUAGACCAGGGUCCGGUUUCCCAAAAGCAUCUUAAAGCUAAGUUUGUUAGAACCUUCGUUGUGGCAUUAUUAAAUAUCAGAGCUGUUUCCCAAAACCUUCGUUAUUAACGUAACACUUGUAAUCUAACGCCUGUCUCAGACCACUCAUAGAACAGCUAAGUGGGUCUUUAGAUGCUUUUUCUUUUGCCCUCCCGCGUCACUUUACACACAGAAGAGCUCCGCUAAACAUAGAAUCACAUGGCUUCUCCGCCUCUGUGACCACUGAUCACUUCAGACAACAAAUACAAGUUGGCAAUGUCUUUGCAAUUGAUACAAACAAGCAGCAUAUAAAAAGAUGCUUGAAAUUAAAACAGAUGUGUACAUUAAAAUAUAUAUACAGUAGGCUAAAUGGCUAUUUGAAUCAUUGAGUUCUAUUUUGCUACUGUACUUGUAGGCUACAGUCUGUAAUUUGUCUGUAUUUAUUUCAUGCUGUGCAGCCUAAUGUGUGCAAUAAUGUGCCAUAUCGUGAUUUGGUGCAUUAUUACAGGGUAAUGAUUAGAAUCAGCCUCAUAAAUAUUGGAAGCCAUAGGUGAUAAGCUUCUAGGAGCUGAUCGGUCUUCAGUAUUGUGGAAUAAUUUGGAUUUUAAGGUAAGAUUUGAAUGGAGAAAGAGCUGAUCCGAGAGCAGCGUUGCUUUUCUUUCGAUCCUGUCAGUAUUGACACAAGCCACAACGACGCGCUUAGCGACCGUUCUCUCUACAUGGUGUUUUGGCAAACACAUGUUACAUCUUUGGCCGUUAUAGGAAAGAUGCAUCAUUAAAACACUCGUAAGCCUAAGUUCAAUCGUUAUCAGGAAACCGGGCCCAGGUCAAUAGGCCCUUAGCCCUUCCAGUUCUGUUGCUGUAACUAGCCUACCUGACAGCCAACUAACCCCUCGUAUUGUGGCUAUCCCAGACACAGCCACUCCCACAGCCUGACACAUACUGAUGAGUAAUACUGCUUAUUUAUCAACAUGAUCUGAUUUCAACAACUUUUCACAAUCCUUGAAGUCUCUUCUUCAGGGAGACAAAUAUGUUUAUGAUUUUACACUGACUUCGUAGCGCUCAAACAUAACACUGCAACCCUUUUGAAAUGUGCCAUUUUGUCCCCGUCGAUCAGAACAGCCUUCUCUAAAUCAACUGCACUAAGUGCCCUGUGAUCCAACCCUAAACAAUCUACCGAGGGAUACCUGCCCCUUGCCCUCUGCAGUAGCCUUGCCCUCACAGUCCCAGCCAUGUACCAUACACAGUGUUGUUGCUUUGCCUCUGAACAUGUUGCUGUCUUGACUCCGCAUUUGAUCCCCACCAGGUUGACUCAGGAUUGUGACUCAGAUCGAGUAACCUAGAGAGCGGACCUAGAGAGCGGAGAGAAAGGCUGGACAAAAAAAAAAAGUCUGGUCUGGCCUUUCACUCUGUCCGUACGAUCGGCAGUGUGUGCUCACCUCAGUCGCUCUCUCUUUCGUCAGUCUGGCCCGAUGCCCAAGUUCAAAACAGACCGACUCGUGUGUCAGGAAAAAACAUCCUCUCACACACACUGAGAGGGAGAGAACGAACACUAAACGCUCAAACCACACAAACCAAAAAAAGAAAGAGCUUUGGUCAAAGGGGAAUAGAGAGAGGUCUCUCUACCUGUCUCUCUCUACCCCUCCCUCCCUCCCUCUCUUGGUCUGUCGUUCAGCAGAAAAACGGAUCGAUAAAGAGUUGAAGCUCUUCGCACCAAGUGACUCCUCGUAAAUGGGUACUUUUCUGUGGGGUGAAUGGAGAACCUAACCAACUCCUUGUUUUAAAGGGAGAAAAUGAAAGUUGUGCCUCCUAAUGUUCUGUCUAAAUGGAUCUAUCUGUCUCUGAUGAAGUGUAAAGGACUCUGUAACCUUAACAAAAUCACUAUGUUCCCAUUGUUUUUAAGGGCCUUCCUUUCCUGGUGCUCUCAGCAAGUCCGUUUUUCACAAGUAGGUAGGAAGGAGCAGUCAUUUAGAAGUAUGGGGACAUUGUGUAGUAGGUGUUGACGUCACAGUCCCCACACAGUAUAUGACCCAUGUCGCUAGACUUGUACAUUGCAAAAGUGCACAAUUGUUACAGUUUUACUCAGUUUAUUAUUUAUCUGACAUGUUUUACCAUAUCGACAAUUAACAGGGGUAUUAUGCAGUCCUGGUAACUUUCAGAUGUUAUUAGCUUGAAGCUGACUUUCAGUUUCCUCUCAGAGCAGUACUGUGCCUUGUCAGCUGCACAUCCUGUUUUAGCUGAUUUGACACCCUGCUGGCAGGGAGAGAUAAAUGUAUCCCCUAGAGCAGGGUUUCCCAAACUGGGUCCUGGGGCCCCCCCUGGGUGCACAUGUAGGUUUCUGCCCUAGCACUACACAGCUGAUUCAAAUAAGCAACUAAUCAUCAAGCUUUGAUUAUUUGUGUCAGCUGUAUAGUGCUUGGUCAAAAACCAAAACGUGCACCCCUUAGGGUCCCCUGGAUCGAGUUUGGAAACAUUGCCUUAGGGACAAACUAUGUAUUUUAUGAUACGAAAUGCCCCCAAAUUGACAAUUUUAGAUGAGAGGUAUCUGUAUUUCCUGAAAUGGUCCAUGAUUUGACAUGCAGAAACAUCUCCCCAGAGUAACAAUGUGGAGAUGUUGGUGAGACAUUGGAGUAGUGGUGAGGGAAGGCAACCCUUCAACUAUUUUUCACAACAUGUCAGAUUAUGGGGCUGUGUGGAUUUUCGGGACUGUAUGCGUCCUACUGUUCUCUAUCAACCUCAUUGACAAAUGUCCUAAGAGCUGCUGUAUCAAUAGAGACAGAAAUGUUCCUUGUACCAUAACUUUGCCUUCUGGAAGAAGAAAAAAAAAAUUCUAAACACC